rnacentral:tRNA from 1 species
GAAUAUGCUGCGUUGGUGCCUCAGUUUUGCAAAAACUGAUGAGAAUUUUGUUCCGUAUUCU